GUUAGGUUGGUUGCUUGUAUCUAA
rnacentral:siRNA from 1 species